UCUAAACAAGAUGGGAAGGAUUUUAGAGAGUAUCCAAAAUGUGCUCGUAAAUGACAGAUCACCGUUACUGGCAUCAAAAUUUGGCUCUACGCAUUGAAGGAUGCUACCUAUAAAGUAGACGACGUACUCGACAACUUUGACUUCUAAGUUCGAAGAAAGUCACUUAAUCUGGAUACCAUGUUAAAAUGGCCUCAAACACACUCUUAUGUUGUAUCAACAUAGACCCACAUGCAAAGACUAUGUAGAUGCUAACAACAACGAGAAAAUUUUGAGGCUUCUUAUAGUUGCAAUGGGCGGAAUGCGCAAAACUACACUCAGCCAAUUGAUUUGCGGAGACCACAGGGUGGAGAGUCAUUUCCAACUUUGUAUGUGGGUGAUGAGGACUACGAUCUUGAGCUAUUUAUUUAUAUGUUUUUGUACUAGUUUAUUUCAUAUUGUUGUUUUUCCCUUUAUACCCUUAUGGGUGGUCAUGUAGUGUUGUAGCCCGAAGGGCAUUUCAAUUUUUGUUAUUUUUCUUCUCAUGAGGCCUAUUUAUAGGCUAGCUUUCUUGUAUUGAGAUCAUGAAUUGUUGAUGAAAAUUUUGCUCUUGUGUUCUCUUUCUGAGUUCCUUCUUGAAUAUCUCUUAGUGAGUUCUUUUCUCCUAGAUCUCUGUAUGAGUUCUAGGGAAAGCCCAAGGUGAGGGCAAAAGCAAUACUCGCCAGUCAUUGGAAGCGUCCUUGACUCGUGGUUUAUUUUUAUCUUAUUGUUUUCUUCUCCAAAUCCCGUUUUCCUCCUCCCCACGCCAAGCCCUACCCGAGUUCCCAUCAUCCACCACGUUACUCAUUAGCUUCUCCACCACAACCCAAGAUCCACCAAGAAAUCCCCAAAACUGAUGGCAAGCCCCUCUUCCUCCUUUGGCCACCGGCCACCACCUUGCUCCAAGCCAUGAUGAAGAUGUCAAUCAUCAUAAUAGUUCCUUGAUUGUGGCCUAGCAAUAAAUAAAGGAGUUACCGAUUUUUUUGAAUUUCAAAUUUGAAAUUCAAACUUUUCAUUUUUGCAAAAUUCCUAAAAAGGAAAGUUUUCGAAUUGAUCCAAUCCAAAUUUCAUGACAUGUGGAGUUAUUAAUUUUUCAUCCUAGGUGGCAUCGACUCAAUUGGAAAACGCCUCAUCCCUCCCUAAUUUCCCUCCCCCCCUCUCACCAUGCCGCCGGCCCCCAUGAGGGAUUUCCCCCGUUGAUUGCUCAUUUAAUGCCCCAUCCUAUUUGGAUUUGAAAUUAAUUUCAAAUAAUGUUUCUCUCAACAGAUCUUUCCUAAUCUUUUAAUUCUGAAAUCAAUUCCAGAAUUAAUCAAAUAGUUAAGAUACGGAAUGGAAUUUCCUUCAGCCUCCUGAAUUGGAAAUAAGUCCAAAAUAUGGCCCCAAUUCAGCCGCCUCCUUAAUUGUGAGCCUCACUUGGAAAUUUUUUUUUCUUCAGUUUUCAGCCACCUCUAUUAGCUGACAUUGAAUUACUUUAUUGCUUAAUUAAUUCCCAAAUCAAGCCCCGCCAAAUUGGAAUUAAUUGGAUCAUUUCGAAUUUUCUAAUCAGUUUUUUUGUUGGAAAUAAAAUAGCUGAAUACAAAAACUUGAAUUGUUCCGGUUUUCAUUAAUUCCUAAUGGAAUUAAUUUGAAGACCUCCAAACCCAUUAGUCUAGAUUGAAAUCAAGACUGCCUUCUUUCCCCUGUUGGCCGGAACUCCCCCCAUACCGUGCACACAGGUUCCCUUCCACAGAUCUCUCCCAAACUUCAUCUUACGGGAGCUUUCUGCCUUGCAAGGAUUGCAGCCAGAGAAUUCCAGCAGGGAUUAUUUGUUUCCCAGCAACUUGAAGCUU